rnacentral:rRNA from 1 species
GGUGCUGCAUGGCUGUCGUCAGUUCGUGUCGUGAGAUGUUGGGUUAAGUCCCGCAACGAGCGCAACCCCUAUCUUUAGUUGCCAUCAGGUUGGGCUGGGCACUCUAGAGAGACUGCCGGUGACAAGCCGGAGGAAGGUGGGGAUGACGUCAAGUCCUCAUGGCCCUUAUGUCCUGGGCUACACACGUGCUACAAUGGCGGUGACAGUGGGAAGCUAGGUGGUGACACCAUGCUGAUCUCUAAAAGCCGUCUCAGUUCGGAUUGCACUCUGCAACUCGAGUGCAUGAAGGUGGAAUCGCUAGUAAUCGCGGAUCAACAUGCCGCGGUGAAUACGUUCCCGGGUCUUGUACACAC